rnacentral:rRNA from 1 species
CAGCUUAACUGUAGAACUGCCGUUGAUACUGCUAGUCUUGAGUAUAGUUGAGGUAGCUGGAAUGAGUAGUGUAGCGGUGAAAUGCAUAGAUAUUACUCAGAACACCGAUUGCGAAGGCAGGUUACCAAGUUAUAACUGACGCUGAGGGACGAAAGCGUGGGGAGCGAACAGGAUUAGAUACCCUGGUAGUCCACGCCGUAAACGAUGCUAACUCGUUUUUGGGCUAUAUGGUUCAGAGACUAAGCGAAAGUGAUAAGUUAGCCACCUGGGGAGUACGACCGCAAGGUUGAAACUCAAAGGAAUUGACGGGGGCCCGCACAAGCGGUGGAUCAUGUGGUUUAAUUCGAUGAUACACGAGGAACCUUACCAAGGCUUAAAUGGGAAUUGACAGCUGUAGAAAUACGGUUUUCUUCGGACAAUUUUCAAGGUGCUGCAUGGUUGUCGUCAGCUCGUGCCGUGAGGUGUUAGGUUAAGUCCUGCAACGAGCGCAACCCCUGUCACUAGUUGCCAUCAUUAAGUUGGGGACUCUAGUGAGACUGCCUACGCAAGUAGCGAGGAAGGUGGGGAUGACGUCAAAUCAUCACGGCCCUUACGCCUUGGGCCACACACGUGAUACAAUGGCCGGUACAGAGGGCAGCUACACUGCGAAGUGAUGCAAAUCUCGA